GGAAAAUGGCUUUUCCAUCUACUUUACUUACUAGUGAUUAUCCCAUUAAUGCUGAUGUGUAUGUGCUCCAGGAAAAGUAAUCGUGUAAGGAAUUGUUUAUAUCCUACAAUACCCCAACCUAAAGUGACUCCAAUUUUUAAGAUGAGUCCUGGAAUAACAGAAGUGAA